UCGCUUUGCGAGAUGAUGGCGAGUGGCGUACGGGUGAGUAACGCGUAUGCAACCUGCCCACUACUGGGGGAUAGCCCGUGGAAACAUGGAUUAAUACCCCAUAACACAGGGGGCCCGCAUGGGUCUAUUGUUAAAGAUUUAUCGGUAGUGGAUGGGCAUGCGUCUGAUUAGCUUGUUGGUGAGGUAACGGCUCACCAAGGCGAUGAUCAGUAGGGGGCCUGAGAGGGUGAUCCCCCACACUGGCACUGAGAUACGGGCCAGACUCCUACGGGAGGCAGCAGUAAGGAAUAUUGGACAAUGGGCGAAAGCCUGAUCCAGCCAUGCCGCGUGAACGAAGACGGCCUUCUGGGUUGUAAAGUUCUUUUCUACGGGAACAAACCCCCUAUGCGUAGGGUACUGAGUGUACCGUAGGAAUAAGCACCGGCUAACUACGUGCCAGCAGCCGCGGUAAUACGUAGGGUGCAAGCGUUGUCCGGAUUCA
rnacentral:rRNA from 1 species